CUGCCCCUAGGGGGAGACAGACUCGCCUGCUGUGCCUGGGUCGGAAGGAUUCCCGCUGCUCAUCCUCAUCCUGGAUACAGGUGGCAGGCGCCAAGCCAGGGUCGCUCGAUGAACGUUUAUUGAGCAUUUAUUAGGAGCCAGGUACUGUAAUAGGUGUGGGGGACAGAGGUGACUAAGGCACAGUCACCCAUAAGAGUCUGGCCAAAUCUCUGCAUGCCUAAGACUGUCCCCCUCAGUCAGGGACCCACGUUGUGUUCCUGGCACCCUAGCUGACCCACUUUGUAACCUGGAUCCCACGCCUGCACUCCUCAGAGUAGCCUUCUUCCAUAAAAUGAGUUUAACUGCGGUUGUCACCUGGUGAUGGAGCUCUUUGAGCUCUUAGGAUGAAAGAUUCUGUAAAUACGCAGCCUUUGUCACCAGACUGGGUGGGGUGGAAUAGGGAGCCCACAUCAGAUCCCCAAGGGUGCAGAGAAACAGCCCCCGGGAGUUGGAGGGAGGGUCGGUCGCCAAGCUCCCCUGAGGUUACCGCCCUCUGACAGCUGCCAAGCGAGUUCCUGCAGCCAGAAUGCCUGACGGGGGGGGGGGUCUCACUAAUUUGGCCAGGCUGGUCUCAAACUCCUGAGCUCAAGCAAUCCACCUGCCUCAGCCUCUCAAAGUGCUGGGAUUACAGGCGUGUGCCACAGUGCCCAGCCCCUAUCUUUCUCUUAAAGGGUUACUUGUGUUACACUUAGGGCCCACCCUGAUAAUCUAGGAUAAUCUCAUUUCAAAAUCUUUAGUCACAUCUGCAAAGUCUUUGCAUGUAGAUAACAGUCACAGAUUCCAAGCAUUAGUACCGAAUUCCUGUAGCGACCAUUAUUCUGCCUGCUCCCAGCCCCCAGAGGAUGCAGAGUUUAAGAGGGGCCUGCCUUCAGUCAGCCUGUGGGCAUGAGCCUCACAUAUCCACUCAGCACAUCCUGGGAGGGGACCU
rnacentral:lncRNA from 10 species